GAGCCGGUGUGAGGCGGUUGCUGCGCUAGCCCAGACGCUGACGCGGGUGGAAGAGAAGACCAGAGAAGAGACCCGCAGUGCAAGCUUUGAAAACAAACCUGGUGGUGGCAGGGCUUCUCCCAGGAAGGCACAGCAGCCCAGUGCUGGUGGCAUUGGCGGUAGUAGUAAUCAUGAUAAAGUGUGAUGAUGCCAGCUUCUCAAAAUUACUUGUGAGAAAUGGAAUAUUGCCUGCCAUGUCAGUAAACAAAGGAUGUCAUAGUCAUCAACGGUCAUAGUCAUCAAGGAUUGCAGCCACCUCCGAGGGUGAGCCGGUGAGCCCUGAGGGAACUUAGAAAGGAAACAAAGAAUACCUGCCAUCUAGCAGCCAUAGGAUUGCAGCCACUCCCCACAGCGAGACCUGAGGAAACUCGAAAACACAGGAUACUGGCCCCAGAUCGCUGAGAUGUCUUUACUUGUGAUGAAACUUCAGCCCUGAGUGUGUCAUCAUGUAUCUUCUAAGAGUAAGGACAUUCUCCUACGUAAUCACAAUACCAUUAUCAGACCUAUAAAAUUUAACCAUAAAAAGCAUCUAAUAUUCAAGUCCAUGGACUUCCCUCGUGGCACAGUGGUUAAGAAUCUGCCUGCCAAUGCAAGGGACAUGCGCCCUGGUUUGGGAAGAUCCACAUGCCGCGGAGCAACUAAGCCCGUGAGCCACAACUACUGAAGCCUGCGCACCCUAGAGCCUGUGCACCACAACUACUGAGCCCAUGUGCUGCAACUACUGAGCAAACAUGCCACAACUACUGAAGGCCACGCACCUAGAGCCUGUGUUCUGCAACAAGCCACCACAAUGAGAAGCCCGUGCACCACAAUGAAGAGUAGACCCCGCUUGCCGCAACUAGAGAAAGCCUGCACGCAGCAAUAAAGACCCAAUGCAGCCAAAAAGAAAAAGCAUCUUUGUUUUACUCUCGCUGUCUUUAGGAUUCUCUCUUUAACUUUCAUCAUUUCAAUUAUGAUGUCUUGGUGUGGGUCUCUUUGGAUUCAUCUUGUUUGGGACUCUGUAAUUCCUGUACCUGGACAUUUUUUCCUUCUUCAGGUUUGGGAAGUUUUCAGCCAUAAUUUCAUCAAAUAUAUUUUCAACCUCUUUCUCUUCUCCUUCUGCAACCGCUAUAACGUGAAUGUUUGUAUUCUUGAUGUUGUCCCAGAGGUCUCUUGAAAUAUCCUCAUUUAAAAAAGUUUUUCUUUUUGCUGUUCUGAUUUGAUUUCCUGUAUUCUAUCUUCCAGAUUGCUUAUGCAUUACUCUUUAUCACUUAAUCUCCUGUUAAUUCCUUCUAAUGUACUUUUGUUUCAGUUAUUCUUCAGUUCUGACUGGUUCUUUUUCAUGUUUCAUAGUUCUUUGAAUUUCUCACUGUGUUCCUCUAUUCUUUUCCCAAGUUUUUUUUUGUGUGUGUGUUUUCUGUUUCGUGUGUUUUAUUGUUUUUUGUUUUACUAUUGCUUUGAACUCUUUAUCAGGUAAAUUAUGUUUCAUUUCCCCCCCCCCGGGUUUUUUCCCCCCCGUUCAUUUGAAAUAUAUAACUCUGUCUUCUCA